rnacentral:rRNA from 1 species
GAUGAACGCUGGCGGCGUGCCUAAUACAUGCAAGUCGAGCGAACAGAUGAGGAGCUUGCUCCUCUGACGUUAGCGGCGGACGGGUGAGUAACACGUGGAUAACCUACCUAUAAGACUGGGAUAACUUCGGGAAACCGGAGCUAAUACCGGAUAAUAUAUUGAACCGCAUGGUUCAAUAGUGAAAGACGGUUUUGCUGUCACUUAUAGAUGGAUCCGCGCCGCAUUAGCUAGUUGGUAAGGUAACGGCUUAGCAAGGCAACGAUGCGUAGCCGACCUGAGAGGGUGAUCGGCCACACUGGAACUGAGACACGGUCCAGACUCCUACGGGAGGCAGCAGUAGGGAAUCUUCCGCAAUGGGCGAAAGCCUGACGGAGCAACGCCGCGUGAGUGAUGAAGGUCUUCGGAUCGUAAAACUCUGUUAUUAGGGAAGAACAAAUGUGUAAGUAACUAUGCACGUCUUGACGGUACCUAAUCAGAAAGCCACGGCUAACUACGUG